UUUGGCAGUUUUCCUUAUUUGGGGCGAGCUCUUUGUUUGAUCAAACUAGAUCAUCCAUAGGAAAAAAACCCAUAUACAUUUACCAGUAGUUACAGAUGAAAGAUGACAUGUGUGCUGAUACUGUGUCUGCAUUUUUGUCAAGGGAGUAAAAAAAAGGAUAAUGUUAAACAACCACUUAUGCAGGAAAAUUUCCAAGAAAAGCAAGAAUUUUUUUUUCUUUAUCAAAUACUUGAUCUAAAUCAAUUGUUCUUUUAAAGAUGAGGGUUUUUGAGAACAGAUCCUGUACAUAGUUCGAUCAGUAUGGCUCUGUAAUCCUAUUUAAAUUGAUACUUCCUUGAUGAUCCUUUCAUCAUAUAGCUGCAUGGUGCUGAUUUAUAGAAAAGAAAUUAAAAAAAUUGAAAAUU
rnacentral:sRNA from 1 species